rnacentral:rRNA from 1 species
CCUACGGGAGGCAGCAGUGGGGAAUAUUGGACAAUGGGCGAAAGCCUGAUCCAGCAAUGCCGCGUGAGUGAUGAAGGCCUUAGGGUUGUAAAGCUCUUUUACCAGGGAUGAUAAUGACAGUACCUGGAGAAUAAGCUCCGGCUAACUCCGUGCCAGCAGCCGCGGUAAUACGGAGGGAGCUAGCGUUGUUCGGAAUUACUGGGCGUAAAGCGCGCGUAGGCGGCGAUUCAAGUCAGAGGUGAAAGCCCGGGGCUCAACCCCGGAACUGCCUUUGAAACUAGAUUGCUAGAAUCUUGGAGAGGUCAGUGGAAUUCCGAGUGUAGAGGUGAAAUUCGUAGAUAUUCGGAAGAACACCAGUGGCGAAGGCGACUGACUGGACAAGUAUUGACGCUGAGGUACGAAAGCGUGGGGAGCAAACAGGAUUAGAUACCCUGGUAGUCCACGCCGUAAACGAUGAUAACUAGCUGUCCGGGACACGUUGGUGCGUUGGGUGGCGCAGCGUACGACAUUAAGUUAUUCCGUCCGUCGGGUAGGUACGGUCGCGAAGAAUUAAACUAACAAUAGUAAGUUAGACGGCGUGAGACGUGCCGAACGGACGACGACGAGGGAGGUAGG